CCAAAUUAAUAUUCUAUUUAUUAAAAUACAAACAUUUCACUACAGAAACUCAAUUUAAACAUUUAACAGAAGGAAAGAAAAUGGUCAUAUUUUCAGCAUAAUUUUAUUCAAAGAUAUCAAUAUUUGAAAAUUAUCAAAAUGUCAUUCUUGAGUGCAUUACUUUGCGUCUUAUCCCAUAUUUGUGACAGUAUGCAUCUACUUUUUUGCUAUUUGCAAGAAUUUUUAUAUUACAUUUCCUACAAGAUCAGUAUACCAAAGUUAUUAGCAGUGGAAUGAGGCCAAACAUGAAGAAUGCUGAGACAAGAAUACAUGCACAUGCACACAGUGAUAUAUAUAUAACUCAAAGCAUGAUAUAUAUAUAUGU